ACAACGGAGAGUUUGAUCCUGGCUCAGGACUAACGCUGGCGGCGUGCCUAACACAUGCAAGUCAAGGAGAACGUUCCCUUCGGGGAACUAUUAAACUGGCGGACGGGUGAGUAAUGCAUAGGUAACCUGCCCUGGAGACUGGGAUAACUUCGCGAAAGCGAUGCUAAUACCGGAUAAUGCAGCGGACCCUAAGGGGUACAGUUGUUAAAGCGGGCUUCGGCUCGUACUUCAAGAUGGGCCUAUGUCCGAUUAGCUUGUUGGUGAGGUAAAAGCUUACCAAGGCUAUGAUCGGUAGCUGGUCUGAGAGGAUGAUCAGCCACACUGGGAUUGAGAUACGGCCCAGACUCCUACGGGAGGCAGCAGUGGGGAAUCUUGCGCAAUGGGGGAAACCCUGACGCAGCAACGCCGCGUGACCGAUGAAGCUUUUCGGAGUGUAAAGGUCUGUCGUGAGGGAAGAAUGGCUUCUAUUCAAAUAGUUUAGAGGCAUGACG
rnacentral:rRNA from 1 species